GUGGAUGUAGCUCAAUUGGUAGAGCUCAGGUUUGUGGUACCUGCGGUCGUGGGUUCGAUUCCCAUCAUCCACCCCA
rnacentral:tRNA from 1 species